rnacentral:lncRNA from 1 species
UUCUCUCUGGUAUGGAGAGCAGGUGUAAUCCCGAGACCCAUAACCUAGAGUUGGACCAGCGUGUACCAAGGUGGGGCUUGGCAGGAGUGGUCCACCCUUUUGGGAAGGAGUGUUUUAUCACUGACAUUGUUAAGGGUCACCACAGCAGAUUUUUAGUGGGUUUUGUUGUUUUUAAAUUCUCAUAGGCAGUGCACCUCUUAUUGCCUGUUCCAGCAUGAUCUGCUCCCACUGCCCACACCCACCAUUAACCUCCACCGUUGGUCUUUAGUGUCUUCUACUUUCCUUUUUGGAUUUUGUUUUUGUUUGUUUUAUUUUUUAAAUUUUUUAACUUUCCUUUAUGACACUCUUUCUUGUGGCACCUUGUUGGCUCUCUGCUCUGUGUCUCUUUCCCAUAUGAAUGAUUCCUAAAGGAAAGAUUUUUUCUAAUUAUCAGCUCUGUGUUAAGAAAUUAGUUGGAAAGAACUUAAAGUAUGAGGGUUCAUCAACUAUUUCUGGUGUAUUAGAAUACUCUAUUUCAUUUGGGUGUGUUUCAUUAAUGACUUCUACCCUCUUAUCCCUGCUGCUUCUGUAAAGCCUUCAAGACCCCUCAAAGUUAAUCUCUACAGGUGAAAUUUCAGGCUCCUGGUUUGGGUGGGCCUUUUCCAGAGUGUCUCAUGUACACUUUGUAGAUACAGCUUUGGAGUCAGACAGACCGGGGUUUGACUCCCUGACCCACCAUUUACUAGUGAUGUCACCUUGAAAAAAAUUAUUUAUUGUCUCACUUUGUUUAUCUGUAAAAUGGAGAACAUAACAAUGAUCUUGCUCCAUAGUGAGAAAUUAAUGCGAUUUUGUAUUUCAAGUGUUUAGCAGAGUGUGACCCACACAAGCCACAGAAAUCGUGGUGGUGGAGAAGUCACAAAGUGCUUGGUGCCCAUACUUCUCAGAUUCUGAAACUUCUGGUCACGUAGGAUUUGAAAGCCCAUUUACAUCCUAUGGGGCCAGAAGUUUCAGAAUCUGAGUGUUGAAAAGAAAUAUCCACCAAAUGUGUAACAGCAGCAAGCAUUUACACAUAGCUAGCUGUGAACCUUCUUCUUGGAUAGCGGGCUCCAACAAGAAUAAGCAAUGGUAAGAGAUGAUCUACAGCCCUGUCCAAAAGAAGCUCAUGGUUUAGGAGGGAGAAGAUAUAAAGACAUAAUUACUGAAUUACUGGCAUUUAUCACUCUAUAUGAAGUGUCAUUACAACUGAGGAUGAUGAGAAGACCCAGGAGACAAAAUCUUCCAAGGGAAUCAGGAACAAGGGCACAGAGGUAAUGAAUUUUGAGUUGGGUCCUGGAGCGUGAGUAGGAGUUUGCAAAGCAGAAAAUAGGAGAAAAAUUAUACCAGGCAGAGAAAAGUGUAUAAGAAAAACAAAGUAAAAGAAUAUCAACAGAGAACAUCUCCUGAGCAUAACAAUAAUAUUGAAGCCAUGGGUACAAAUUAAAUCCAGUUCAAUGAGUUAAAGCCAUAGCAACUUGCACUGAAUCAUCAACAACUUAACUUUCUCUGGAUCUGCUGCAAAGUGAUUUCAGGGUCACACCGAACAUUCUUCCUUGACUAAAAACGAUGCCUUGAGAAUUCACUGAUGGCCACAGUGCAAUCAAUACUAAUCAGGUAAUACGCCCUGGCCCUGAGAUAACAGAGCAUCUAGAAUCCCAAUGUAUGAAUUCAUACCUAAUCUAUAUACUGCCUUAUAUGAGUGGAGGAUUUGUUCACAUUCCAAAGCAUUUUAGUAAGAUGCUAAGAAAAAUCAAUAACUUAUUAAAUACCAGUUACCUCAUUAAAACAAACAAUUAAUCAUCUUUGUUGCUAUUAUAUUGGGACCACAGAUCUGACUUUAUAUAUUUUUCAUUGGUGUGUAUGCUCACAGGUUUACUCCAUUCAUUAGAGGAGAUGACAGAACUCUUGACAGCAAUGCUAUCAAGAAGGAAGUUUCAGUUUAAGAACCCCUCUGGGCUUGCAGAAUGACACACACUGCAGCCAAGAUGGUGCUACUAUAAGAAAUGGACUCCCCAGCACGUUAUUGAAGAAAAAAAAAACCUGCAGCAAUCAAAAAAAAAAGGGGGGACGGGGGCAAAUCUAUAACUUCAGCUGGAAGUGAUGAAAAUUAACUGUUAGAAGUAGAAGAGAC